AAACCAGCACCUCAAGUGGUCAGGAGGAUUAUUGGGCCUAAAGCAUCCGUAGCCUGUUCUGUAAGUUUUCGGUUAAAUCCAUUAGCUCAACUAAUGGGCCGCCGAAAAUACUGUAGAAGUAGGGAGUAGGAGAGGUAGACGGUAUUCGGUAGGAAGGGGUAAAAUCCUUUGAUCUAUUGAGGACCACCUGUGGCGAAGGCGGUCUACCAGAACACGUUCGACGGUGAGGGAUGAAAGCUGGGGGAGCAAACCGGAUUAGAAACCCGAGUAGUCC
rnacentral:rRNA from 1 species